UACGAAGGAGGCUAGCGUUGUUCGGAAUUACUGGGCGUAAAGCGCGCGCAGGCGGCUAUCCAAGUCAGUGGUGAAAGCCCGGAGCUCAACUCCGGAACUGCCAUUGAAACUGUUUAGCUUGAGGAUGAGAGAGGUGAGUGGAAUUCCCAGUGUAGAGGUGAAAUUCGUAGAUAUCGGGAGGAACACCGGUGGCGAAGGCGGCGAUCUGGGUAGAUACUGACGCUGAGGUGCGAAAGCGUGGGGAGCAAACAGG
rnacentral:rRNA from 1 species